UUUAUUUCCAGUACAAACCACAAUUAUAAGAGAUCACUAUGAAGGAAAUCAGGAAUCGAUACCUGGAAGAUUGUAAACACAUUUGUUAGGAUCACUAAAAACAGGAAAGCUUAACCAAGCAAAACGUUAAAGAUAUUACUCCUAAGUAACUAGAGCAGCUUUAGUCCAUAAAUUCUCCACCUGGAACUGCCGUGACGAAAUAUUUUUUUUUAAUUAAUCCAUCGACCCGGGCUUUCACCUCUCGUGGUAAUAGGGCUUUGGCAUUGACCACUAUACCUUAUUUAUUAAUCACCAAAAGAGUAGGCUUGAUGAAUUACUGGUUAAUCACGAGGAGUGUAAAUUUUAUAUUGUCAGUGUGUGCAUAUCGUUAUUUAUAAGGUAAUUUUAGAUAAAUCUCUACAAUAAGUGUAUUAACAACGACAAAAAUGACUAGGUUAAACAGCUCUGAUCGUGUGUAAAAUAUCUUAAUGCCAUCGUGUAUAACUUAAAUUCGUUGUAAACUUGUCAAGUAUGAUUGAGUGGCCUAAAUAAGAAUUAAAUUCUGCUAAUUGCGAAAGACUGGUUCCAUACUUCAAAGUCAAAACUCAAAAGGGUAACGUAACUAAAGUUUAAAUAUGGUAUGGUAGUACUCCAACUAAUUAAUGAAGAUACCGAGAAUGGUCAUCAGUGAACCUUUGGGAUAUACCAUAAGGUUAGCGCUAUUCAUAUUCAGAUGCGGCGAAAUGGAUUCCUUAAUCAAAUAUUUAAAUCCUCCAAAAACGGAGUGUAGCCAUAGGGAAUCCCCAAUCACUUGCCUUAAUUACACAAUGUCAACUCUUUGAUACCUAUAUAAACACUCCCUCUCUGCACCUUCUUGGAAACAAACACAUCAAUUUUACUUUAAACAUUUUAAUCAAUCUUUGGCAUAUUCUGCUAUAAGUUUUUUUUUUCCUGAAGAAAAAAAUGGCUGAUAUUGAGGGAGAACCAGGGAGUUCUAUGCAUGGAGUCACUGGUAGAGAGCCAGUUCUUGCUUUCUCAGUGGCUUCUCCAAUGGUGCCAACCGAUACCACGGCAAAAUUUUCAGUACCAGUUGAUACUGAACACAAAGCCAAGGUUUUUAAAUUUUAUUCAUUUUCAAAGCCUCAUGGUCUUACUUUCCAGCUCUCCUGGAUUUCUUUCUUCACUUGCUUUGUUUCAACUUUUGCUGCUGCCCCUUUAGUUCCUAUCAUUAGGGACAACCUUAAUUUAACCAAAAUGGAUGUUGGUAAUGCCGGAGUUGCUUCCGUUUCCGGAAGUAUUUUAUCUAGGCUUGUUAUGGGUGCAGUUUGUGAUAUGUUAGGGCCUAGAUAUGGUUGUGCCUUUCUGAUUAUGUUGUCAGCCCCAACUGUAUUUUGCAUGUCAUUUGUGUCGUCCGCUGGAGGAUAUGUUGCUGUCCGGUUCAUGAUUGGAUUCUCGCUCGCAACAUUUGUGUCGUGCCAAUAUUGGAUGAGUACUAUGUUUAAUAGUCAGAUUAUUGGACUUGUCAAUGGAACAGCUGCAGGAUGGGGAAAUAUGGGUGGUGGUGCGACUCAACUUAUUAUGCCAAUUCUGUAUGAUAUAAUAAGAAGAGCAGGAGCAACUCCAUUCACUGCUUGGAGAAUUGCAUUUUUCAUUCCUGGUUGGCUUCAUGUUGUAAUGGGUAUUUUGGUGUUGACUCUUGGCCAAGAUUUGCCUGAUGGGAACCGUGGUGAUUUACAGAAGAAGGGUGAUGUUUCUAAAGAUAAAUUCUCCAACGUUAGUACUCCCAUUACACUAACUCUUUCAUCUCUUAAAAAAAGAAAAUCUAUUUUUUCUUCUUUUUUUUAAGGGAGAAGAAUUUUAGCUAACAUACUUCAUGUUUUCGCUAUUUCAGAUAUUGUGGUACGCUGCAACAAACUACAGGACGUGGAUCUUUGUUCUUCUCUACGGAUACUCUAUGGGAGUUGAACUGUCUACAGACAACGUAAUUGCGGAGUACUUCUUCGACAGGUUUGUUUUCCUAAAUAUUUACUGUGUAAUACGUUUACAUCGGCAAAAUUUAACUUGAUGUAACAAGUAACCUGCCUAAUUAUACAUACACUCCCCAAAUCAACUACAAUCGCUGCUCCAUCUGCUUAACCUGACAAACUUUUUGUACAAAAACCUGCAGAUUUGAUCUAAAGCUUCACACAGCGGGAAUUAUUGCAGCGACCUUUGGUAUGGCUAAUUUAUUAGCUCGUCCAUUCGGAGGAUUUUCUUCAGAUUACGCAGCCAAAAGAUUCGGCAUGAGAGGCAGACUUUGGGUCCUUUGGAUAUUACAAACACUGGGAGGAGUAUUCUGCGUCCUGUUGGGCCGUUCAAAUUCUCUGCCCAUAGCCGUCACAUUCAUGAUCCUUUUCUCUAUUGGUGCUCAAGCUGCAUGUGGUGCAACAUUCGGUAUUAUUCCAUUCAUUUCUCGCCGAUCCUUAGGUAUAAUCUCAGGAAUGACUGGGGCUGGAGGAAAUUUCGGUUCUGGAUUGACACAACUGUUGUUCUUCACGAGCUCAAAAUACUCGACAGCAACAGGGCUAACUUACAUGGGACUAAUGAUCAUAGGAUGCACUCUUCCAGUGACUUUCUGUCAUUUCCCACAAUGGGGAAGCAUGUUUUUCCCACCAACGAAAGACCCUGUUAAGGGAAGUGAGGAACAUUAUUAUGCCGCAGAGUAUACCGAAGCUGAGAGGCAGAAAGGUAUGCACCAAAACAGCUUGAAGUUCGCCGAGAACUGCCGAUCGGAGCGUGGCAAGCGCGUGGGAUCGGCACCUACUCCUCCAAAUUUAACGCCUAAUCGUGUCUGAGAUUCUCAGAUUUGAUAAUUUUGUCUAAGGGGAUGGAUGAUUGUCAAUCUCUGAUUAGAUGAAGAUUCAAUGAGCUGAGUCUCAAUAAGCAAAUUCUUUUUAAAGAAUGUAUCUUGAUUUUUCUUGUCCUUUUUUCUUCUUCUUCUUUUUCUUGGAAUCUACUUAUAAGUUGUAUGUUGUUUUUUAAAUGAAGUAUAUAUAUGACGCAUUGUGUAUGUUUCCUCUUGCUUCUUACAUCUGAAUAUUCUAUGGGUUGUUGUAGAUUCAAAAGUAAUAUUAACAAAACUUUUGACUUCUAAGAAGGGCCUUGAUCAUUUAUUCCAGUUGGUUUAACAUACAGAAGUUUGUGAAUUGUUUUACUCUCCUAGUAGCUGAUUAAAAAUGAUACUAUGAAAGAUCAAUUAUAUUUUAUAGUUACUAGUUGGCAACAAUUUGUACAGGGAGAAGUGUUAAGUUAAGCUUAGAGCGCAAUGGAAAUUUAAGUGUUUUAUCCAAUUAAUUUGUCAAAUCAGGUUAAGUUGUACUCAACAACUUGCACGCAAUAUUGUCUAAGCCAAAGGCAUGUUGAAAUCAAGGCAUGGUGAAGCUUGGGGCUGUUGCCCUAUAAUCUCGUCUGCAACAUAUUUUGUACUGGAAAAAUUUGACUUUGACACAUGGAUAAAUUACACGAUAACACAACAUCAUUUGAUAAGUUGUACAUCGGGAACAAGAUGGAAGACAAGUUUAAUCAUCGCAGGGCAGUGGCGGAGGCAGGAUUACCGCCAAGGGAUUCGAAAAAAGGGAAAAAUUAAAAAGGUUGUAGCUAGUGGGAAUUUGACCAAUGACCUUACUAAGGUUUUGAACCCCCUUGACCACUAAACUAUGUUUUUGAGCUGUGUCAAUGAGAUUCAAAAUAUAAUAUAUAGAGGUAAAAAAAAAUAGGUUUUACCUUUCAUAUAUAGUGUAAUUUUUCUGCGAAGGAGAUUCAGGUAAACACCCUUUCGCCCCCCUAAAUCCGUCCCUGCUCGCAGGAAAUAUACACAGUUCGGUGACUCCCGAGAGAAACAAGCACCGUGUCUCGAUGAAACACCCCAAAGAUGAUUCCGAGGAUUUAUUGAUGAAGUCAUAGCCCGAAACUUGACUUGGUCCUCAACUGUCCCCGAAACGUUAGGGAUUCACCUACACCCACUAUGCUAGAUUUGUCACCCACAAGCGACAUGUAUUUCGGCGUUUGUUAACCAUUCAGAGCGACAUGCAGAAGUGGGGAUGAUCAUGUGAAAGUUGGAUAUAGGCUAUAAAUAACCCCAUUUUAUUUGCCUGUACAUUCAUUCAAAAGCUGUUGAACUUACUCUUUAUAAAAGGCUAUUGUACUAUUGCUGGGCAAUCUCUCUUUAUUUUGUAAGCAUUGUGGCUCAUGGAAAAGAUCAAAAAGAUCAUUCUUAUCAUUUAUUUAUUUACUUUUAUUACUUUAUUUACAACUUUGUUAGCUUAAUUAUAUGAAUCAUUCGAUUAAAAUUUGAUUCGAACCAAUUGCUAGUGACCUCAUUAAAAAUAAAUUUAAUUAAUUAUUCCUCAAACUAUUUUUGAGUUAUGCAAUUUUGUGCCUACCGUGGGACCCUAGAAGUUGAGAAUUUGACUUAGAGUUCUUAUUCUCAUUAUGAGAUUUAUCUUUUACUUAUCUGUCAAUUUCCUUUCCAUUUUGUGACUCAGAAUGACUGAAAAGAACAUUCAGCCAAUAGAUUAGAGCAAAGCCACAGAACCCAGUGGAUAUCCAGGAGACUCCAUGCCCCUCAAGUGAAAACAGGUCUUGCAUAUGGGCAAAGAGCUAGGUCCCAGAUAGUAAGGAGGUCGUACCCAGAAAAAAGGCACUACUUGGAAUGGAUGCGUCACAAUCCAAAUAUGCGCCCUCUCACAUGGACUUUCCAACCCACAACUUCACCGAAUAGAGUGGCGAAACCUUGAAAUUCGACAUGGCUCAAUAACGGAGAUUGAACGCCAAAAUGGGCAUGAUGUUUGAUGCAUUGGGGAAGUAACAACUAUAACGACACUCCAACCCCGCUGAUAGAAGUGACUCAGGUCAAACACAUCCCUAAUUCAUUACUCAAGGCUUUGGGGUUUCCCGAUAAUUCCGUGGCUAGAGGGUCAGGUAUGUCUAAAAUGCUGAGUUACAUAUUUUAAUACUAACCUUGUGUCACACCUCUUUUUUACACACCUGAAGGUAUAUAAAGAAGUUUUUUCAAUUUAAGUGACAUUAUUCGAUAUGAGAUUAUUUAUUAAUUUUUUAUUCAGAGUUGCCACUUGAAAUAUUUUUAUUGGUAUCCCAAGUCACCGGCUUAUUUUAAAUCCCAAAUCGAGGAAAAUUCGACUUUCCUUUUGAAGUAUGCGAACUAGAAAUUCUGAAUAAGGAAUUCUGUUAACCCGGAGGAAGGUGUUAGGCAUCCCCGGAUUCCGAUGUUCUAGCACGGUCGCUUAAACUAUUACAAUUGGCCUAUUAUAUGAUUUUAAUACAUGUUUUAGCCUAUGGUAUAAUUUUAAAUUAUUAACUGCUUUUAAUUAAUUUUAGAAAGAUUCAACGUUACCUAAAACAUGUCUUUGAACCACACCACAUGAAAUGCACCCACGGUCCACGACACAUUUUAUUUAACGUUGUUGAGAUUUGGAUUUGGGUCACACGAAAUGCACACCCGAGUUUAAGGAAAUUAAUUUAAAUUACGCGCCUAAAACAACUACGCACCUUCACAUUUGCGAGGGCCAUGAAAAAUUCAACUGAUGGCACACCUAGAUUUUUAAAAGAGCUAACUAAUUUUACGAGGGCCAUGGCCUACUUAAUAAAAGUGGCACACCUCAAUUUCACAAGAAUAAACGUUGACCCACCAGUAAAAACACCAAACCAAUCUUGUUCUCAACUCCAGUGAAUUGCUAACCAAAUUGUGCUAAAGGCUCUUGGUUGUUAACAAGUAAGACUAUAAAUUUUUAAUUUAAUGUCAUCUCCCAGCAAACUUCAAUACAAGGCUCAAUAAGAAUUCAUGGCUUACUGCUUACAGGAAUCAGAUGCAAAAUCCUAUAAGAAUUAAACCAAACCUUAACGACACAAACAAACGACAUAAGCCAAAACAAAAGGAUUUCUACGGCAAACAUUGUGCUUUCUUCACUAUUGCAUUUUUGGAUUCAAAUAUCGAAAUUAAAUACUUACGUUCUUAAGAGCAAAUUAACAGAACAUAAAAAUAUUCCACCAUUCGAAGCAACGAGAUAGCAACUCAAGGAUUCAAUAGAGCAACCAAACAAUUUAUCGAAUGCAUGACAUUAACCCACUCAAAAAAAUGAAUUUAAGAGAAGAGGAUGGACCUUUUGAUGCGCAAGCUUUCCCUUUUUAUUAAGAAACCAACUGAUUUACAUGGUUGCGACCAAAGCUUCCAAGUGAAAACACGAAAAAGAUCAAAAUCGGGACUUCAAACGUCAACCUCGACUCGCUUCAACCAGAAUUGAGAACGACCCCUUCGGCAGCCCCGAACUCGUCGAAAAACCAACAGAAAAGAAAUUAGCUAGGCGUUGUCUUUAGAGCUGAAGCGCAUUGACUUCGAAUAUGUUUCGAAGCUGCUGUGCCGGGGAGUUUCGGGCGCUGUUUUGGGUGGUUUUUGGAUGGAUUUUCGCUGGGUUUAGAGCUGUGUUUCCACGGAGUUUUCAGCUAUGUUUUUGGACUGAUGAGGAAUCAUUUCUGGGGUGUUUUGAGGUGAGAAACAGGGUUGUUUCACAGAAGUGAGGAGUUAAUGGGGAUGUUUGCGGCUGACUCGCUGGUUGCCGGAGAAGGAAAAGGAGCCGCUGCUCUUUCUCUAUCGAGAAUCAGAAAGAGAGAUCAUGGAUUCCUUUGUUGAGAAAUCGCUGCUGUGUGAUUUUGUUGAAGAAGGUGAAGAACAGGAAGGGGGGGGGGGGGGGGGUCUUGUUCUCUGUUUUUUUCCGUUCUCCAGCCUUUUUUUUCUUUUUGUUCUGUGUGUGCAUGUGUUAUAUAGAAAGAGAAUAGACAUGAAAGGAAAUAUUCCCCGGCUCUAAUUUUUGUCCUCAUUCCCCUCUCUAAUUUUUCUUUUUCCAUUUUUUUGUUCGCUUCCCCAUGUGCUAAAAAAUGUGAGUGAGAAUAAAAUGGGGUGCAUGUGAGUUUGUUACCAAGAGAUAAGGGACUCCAUUUUAAUGAAUUGAUUUUUCUUUGCAACUUUACUUCUUCCGUUGCUUCAUUUCUCGUUUUUGCAAAUUUUUCACGUUUUCUUUCUUUUUCUUUUUUCCUUUUUGUUUUGUUUUAUUUCCUAUUAAUGAUAAAAUAAAACUAGUUACAAAUACUAUUUAUCUAAAGUAAGCAAUAUUAAAAAGAGAACUAAAAUAAUUCUAUUAGAGAAAUUCAAAUACUACUCGAUAUUUACUAAAUACUUAUAACUUAAAAUUACACUAAACCAAAUAAAAAUAUUUUUUGAAACUUUUCUUUUAUCCUUUGUAAAAAUAAAAUAAAAUAAAACUAGCUAUCAAAAAUAUCAAUAAUCUAACAUAAAGAAAAAAUAAUUUUUUGUUAGUUUUCUUUUUUUUUUAGUCUUUGAAAUAAAAUAAACCGAAGAAGUUUAAAAAUAGCCAAAAUAACAAUAUUAGACCUAAACUCAAUAUCUACAUUGCUAAAAUGUGAAAAAUCUUGGGGAGGGUCNNNNNNNNNNNNNNNNNNNNNNNNNAAACAAGCGUUCCUACUAGGGAUCCAGCAUGAGGCUAUAUUAUUCUAGGUUUAAAACCUGGGUGUAUUGUUCUAGACCUGGCUUACCCGAGCGGACAACACGAGCCGGGGGGGGGGGGGCAGCGUAUCGGGAAUACAGAAGCUUCACCGGCUUUGCAACUUAUCCGAACCUCGUUCUAAAAUUGGAGAAGACUCUAGACAAAAGAGAAGUCACACGAAGUGCACCCUCCUCAAAUGAUUUAGAAGACUCAGAAAGAAGAAGGGUUUCGUAGCAGUUUAUAUACAGUUCACAAAAUAUCAAAGCAGUAAAAGCAGCAUUUAGCACGUUAGGCCCAAUCAUGUAAAUAAAACCAGAUAAUAAAUAAAGCCAAAUAUAACAAUUAUUCUAAGCUCGAAUUCUUGAACCCUGAACUAGAGAUUCUGGGUUCGUUUCCCCAGCAGAGUCGCCAGAGCUGUCACACUUCCUUUUUACACACCCGAAGGUAUAUAAGGGAGUUUGCCAAUUUAAAUGAUAUUAUUCGAUAUGAGAUUAUUUAUUAAUUUUUUAUUCAGAGUCGCCACUUGGAAUAUUUUUAUUGGUGUCCCAAGUCACCUGCUUAUUUUAAAUCCCAAAUCGAGGAAGAUUCGACUUUCUUUUUGAAGUUUGCGAACCAGAAAUUCUGAAUAAGGAAUUCUGUUAACCCGGGGGAAGGUGUUAGGCAUCCCCAGAUUCCGUGGUUCUAGCACGGUCGCUUAAUCUAUUACAAUUGGCCUAUUAUCUGAUUUUAAUACGUGUUUUAUCCUAUCGUAUAAUUUUAAAUUAUUAACCGCUUUUAACUAAUUUGAGGAAGAUUCAACGUUACCUAAAACACAUCUUUGAACCACGCCACAUGAAAUGUACCCACGAUCCACAACAUAUUUUAUUUAACUUUGUUGAGAUUUGGAUUUGGGUCACAUGAAAUGCACACCCAAGUUUAAGGAAAUUGAUUUAAAUUACGCGCCUAAAGCAACUACGCACCUUCACAUUUGCGAGGGCCAUGAAAAAUUCAACUGAUGACACACCUCGAUUUUUAAAAGAGCUAACUAAUUUUACGAGGGCCAUGGCUACUUAAUAAAAAUGGCACACCUCAAUUUCACGAGAACAAAUACUGACCCACAAGUAAAAACACCAAACCAAUCUCGUUCUCAACUCCAGUGAUUUGCUAACCAAAUUGUGCUCAAGGCUCUUAGUUGUUAACAAGUAAGACUAUAAAUUUGUAAUUUAAUGCCAUCUCCCAGCAAACUUCAAUACAAGGCUCAAUAAGAAUUCAUGACUUACUGCUUAUAGGAAUCAGAUGCAAAAUCCUAUAAGAAUUAAACCAAACCUUAACGACACAAACAAACGACAUAAGCCAAAACAAGAGGAUUUCUACGGCAAACAUUGUGCUUUCUUCACUAUUGCAUUUUUGGAUUCAAAUAUCGAAAUUAAACACUUACGUUCUUAAGAGCAAAUUAACAGAACAUAAAAAUAUUCUACCAUUCGAAGCAACGAGAUAACAACUCAAGGAUUCCGAAAUAGAGCAACCAAACAAUUUAUCGAAUGCAUGACAUUAACCCACUCAAAAAAAUGAAUUUAAGAGAAGAAGAUGGACCUUUUGAUGCACAAGCUUUCCCUUUUUAUUAAGAAACCAACUGAUUUACAUGGUUGCGACCAAAGCUUCCAAGUGAAAACACGAACAAGACCAAAACCGGGACUUCAAACGUCGACCUCGACUCGCUUCAACCAGAAUUGAGAACGACCCCUUCGGUAGCACUGAACUCGUUGAAAAACCAACAGAGAAGAAAUGAGCUAGGCGUUGUCUUUAGAGCUGAAGCGCAGUGAGUUCGAAUAUGUUUCGAAGAUGCUGUGCCGGGGAGUUUCGGGCACUGUUUUGGGUGGUUUUUGGACGGAUUUUCGCUGGGUUUAGAGCUGUGAUUCCACGGAGUUUUCAACUAUGUUUUUGGACUAAUGAGGAAUCAUUUCUGGGGUUUUUUGAGGUGAGAAACAGGGUUGUUUCACAGCUGGUUUUGGAGAGUGAGGAGUUAAUGGGGAUGUUUGCGGCUGACUCGCUGGUUGCCGGAGAAGGAAAAGGAGCCGCUGCUCUUUCUCUAUCGAGAAUCAGAAAGAGAGAUCAUGUACCCCUUUGUUGAGAAAUCGCUGCUGUGUGAUUUUGUUGAAGAAGGUGAAGAACAGGAAAUGGGGGGGUCGUUCUCUGUUUUUUUCCGUUCUCCAGCCUUUUUUUCUUUUUGUUCUGUGUGUGCAUGUGUUAUAUAGAAAGAGAAUAGGCAUGAAAGGAA
rnacentral:lncRNA from 1 species